rnacentral:rRNA from 1 species
CGAACGCUGGCGGCAGGCUUAACACAUGCAAGUCGAGCGCACUCUUCGGAGUGAGCGGCGGACGGGUUAGUAACGCGUGGGCAACCUGCCCUGUAUAAAGGGAUAGCCACUGGAAACGGUGAUUAAUACCUUAUAAGACUACAGAAACACAUGUUUCAGUAGCCAAAGCUCCGGCGAUACAGGAUGGGCCCGCGUUUGAUUAGCUAGUUGGUGAGGUAAUGGCUCACCAAGGCGACGAUCAAUAGCCGACCUGAGAGGGUGAUC